AGGGAUAUUGGUCAAUGGGGGAAACCCUGAACCAGCAACGCCGCGUGAGGGAAGACGGUUUUCGGAUUGUAAACCUCUGUCCUCUGUGAAGAUGAUGACGGUAGCAGAGGAGGAAGCUCCGGCUAACUACGUGCCAGCAGCCGCGGUAAUACGUAGGGAGCAAGCGUUAUCCGGAUUUAUUGGGUGUAAAGGGUGCGUAGACGGGAUAAUAAGUUAGUUGUGAAAUCCCUCGGCUCAACUGAGGAACUGCAACUAAAACUGUUAUUCUUGAGUGUUGGAGAGGAAAGCGGAAUUCCUAGUGUAGCGGUGAAAUGCGUAGAUAUUAGGAGGAACACCAGUGGCGAAGGCGGCUUUCUGGACAAUAACUGACGUUGAGGCACGAAAGUGUGGGGAGCAAACAGG
rnacentral:rRNA from 1 species